rnacentral:tRNA from 1 species
AAGAAAGUUGUAGAGGUUACAUGGUUGGCUUGAAACCAACUGUAGGAGGUUCAAUUCCUCCCUUUCUUG